UGGGGAAUAUUGCGCAAUGGGGGAAACCCUGACGCAGCGACGCCGUGUGAGGGAAGAAGGCUUUCGGGUCGUAAACCUCUGUCAGGAAGGAAGAACCUCUCAAGGCUGAACAAGCCUUGGGACUGACGGUACUUCCAGAGGAAGCACCGGCUAACUCCGUGCCAGCAGCCGCGGUAAUACGGAGGGUGCAAGCGUUAAUCGGAAUCACUGGGCGUAAAGCGCGCGUAGGCCGUCUUUUAAGUCGGACGUGAAAGCCCUCGGCUCAGCCGUGGAACUGCGUUCGAUACUGGGAGACUUGAGGCCUGGAGAGGGUGGCGGAAUUCCGGGUGGAGGAGUGAAAUCCGUAGAUAUCCGGAGGAACACCAGUGGCGAAGGCGGCCACCUGGACAGGUACUGACGCUGAGGCGCGAAAGCGUGGGGAACAAACA
rnacentral:rRNA from 1 species